CAGCMGCCGCGGUAAUWCGUAGGGUGCAAGCGUUAAUCGGAAUUACUGGGCGUAAAGCGUGCGCANGCGGUUUUGUAAGACAGAGGUGAAAUCCCCGGGCUCAACCUGGGAACUGCCUUUGUGACUGCAAGGCUAGAGUACGGCAGAGGGGGAUGGAAUUCCNCGUGUAGCAGUGAAAUGCGUAGAUAUGCGGAGGAACACCGAUGGCGAANGCAAUCCCCUNNGCCUGUACUGACNCUCAUGCACGAAAGCGUGGGGAGCAAACAGGAUUAGAUACCCUGGUAGUCCACGCCCUAAACNAUGUCAACUGGUUGUUGGGUCUUCAUUGACUCAGUAACGAAGCUAACGCGUGAAGUUGACCGCCUGGGGAGUACGGCCGCAANGUUGAANCUCAAAGGAAUUGACGGGGNCNCGCACAAGCGGUGGAUGAUGUGGUUUAAUUCGAUNCAACGCGAAAAACCCUACCCACCUUUGACAUGGCAGGAAUCCUUUAGAGAUAGAGGAGUGCUCGAAAGANNACCUGCACACAGGUNCUGCAUNNCUNNCGNCAGCUCGUGUCGUGAGAUGUUGGGUUAAGUCCCGCAACGAGCGCAACCCUUNCCAUUACUUGCUACGAAAGGGCACUCUAAUGGGACNNCCGGUGACAAACCGGAGGAANGUGGGGAUGACNNCANNUCCUCAUGGCCCUUAUAGGUGGGGCUACACACGUCAUACAAUGGCUGGUACAAAGAGUUGCCAACCCGCGCGGGGGAGCUAAUCCCAUAAAGCCAGUCGUAGUCCGGAUCGCAGUCUGCAACUCGACUGCGUGAAGUCGGAAUCGCUAGUAAUCGUGGAUCAGCAUGUCACGGUGAAUACNNUCCCGGGUCUUGYACACACCGCCCGUC
rnacentral:rRNA from 1 species